CCCGCCCCACCGGCCCCGGCGCAGCCGCGGAAGCCCCGAGCCCGGCGCGCGCUGCGGUCCGCGGGGGGUCCGGGCCGGGCGGGGGUCGCGGAGGGCGUGGCCGGCGGCGCGGGGGCGGGGGCCGGGCGGGCGCGGGGGGCGGGGCGGUCCCCGGGGCGUGGCCAUGCAGGCGCUGGUGUCGCCGGUGACGAAGGCGGUGCUGGUGGCGCUGUUCAUCUUCGCGAUCCUGCUGAUCCUGUACGUGAUCCUGUGGUACAUCUGCCGCGACGUGGACUGCGACCACGGCCUCUGACGUCAGCGCGUCACCCACCGCGUCAUCACCCGUGUCGUCAUCACCAGCGAGUGACGUCAUCAUCACCGUCAAUAUAUAUAUAUACGCACACAGACCAUCCGCCCGCUGUACGUGAUCCUGGGGUUCAUCUGCCGCGACGUGGACUGCGACCACGGCCUGUGACGUCAGCGCGUCACCCACCGCGUCAUCACCCGUGUCGUCAUCACCAGCGAGUGACGUCAUCGCCACCGUCAAUAUAUAUAUAUACGCACACACAGACCAUCCGCCCCUGUACGUGAUCCUGGGGUUCAUCUGCCGCGACGUGGACUGCGACCACGGCCUCUGACGUCGGCGCGUCACCCACCGCGUCAUCACCCGCGUCAUCACCAGCGAGUGACGUCAUCGCCACCAUCAAUAUAUAUAUACGCACACACAGACCAUCCGCCCGCUGUACGUGAUCCUGGGGUUCAUCUGCCGCGACGUGGACUGCGACCACGGCCUCUGACGUCAGCGCGUCACCCACCGCGUCAUCACCCGUGUCGUCAUCAUCCGUGAGUGACGUCAUCAUCACCGUCAAUAUACAUACACACACACAGACCAUCCGCCCGCUGUACGUGAUCCUGGGGUUCAUCUGCCGCGACGUGGACUGCGACCACGGCCUGUGACGUCAGCGCGUCACCCACCGCGUCAUCACCCGCGUCGUCAUCACCAGCGAGUGACGUCAUCGCCACCGUCAAUAUAUAUAUAUACGCACACAGACCAUCCGCCCGCUGUACGUGAUCCUGGGGUUCAUCUGCCGCGACGUGGACUGCGACCACGGCCUGUGACGUCAGCGCGUACGGGUGACGUCAUCAUCAGCGUCUUCAUCAUCCGUGAGUGACGUCAUCGCCACCGUCAAUAUAUAUAUACACACACAGACCAUCCGCCCGCUGAUCCUGUAUGUGAUCCUGUGGUUCAUCUGCCGCGACGUGGACUGCGACCACGGGCUGUGACGUCAGCGCGUCAUUGCGUUAUCCAUUGCGUCAUCUUCCGUGAGUGACGUCAUCAUCUAUAUUAUAUAUUAUAUAUAUAUAUAUAUAUAUAUAUAUAUAUAUGCACACAUAGAUCAUCCGCCCGCUGUACGUGACCCUGUGGUUCAUCGGCCUCUGACGUCAGGACGUCAUCCAUCGCGUCAUCCGUCAGUGAGUGACGUCAUCAUCAAAACAUCACCGUAUAUGUACACACAUAGAUCAUCCGCCCCCUGGUCCUGUACGUGAUCCUGUUAUACAUUUGCCGCGACGUCGACUGUGACCACCGGCUGUGAGGUCAGCGCGCGAGGGUGACGUCAUUAUCCGUGUCGUCAUCAUCAGUGAGUGACGUCGUCAUACAUAAAUAUGCAUAGAUACAGAUCAUCCGCCUGCUGUAUGUGACCCUGUGGUUCAUCUGACUCAACGUCGACUGUGAGACGUCGACUGCGACCCCGGCCUCUGACGUCAUGACGUCAGCCACCGCGUCAUCCUCAGUGAGUGACGUCAUCCGUCAGUGACGUCAUCGUCACAUCAAUAUAGAUAUAGAUCAUCCGCCCACUGACCCUGUGGUUCAUCUACUGUGACCUGCACUGCUCUGUCGUCAUGACGUAACACGCUACGUCAUCUCACGUCAUCAUCAGACUCAGAUCUACCGCGACCUGUCAUUUGACGUCAGUGGGACACGGCUGCCGCAUCCCAGUGACGUCAUCAGUAACGUCGCUCAUCUGCUGUGACGCUGACUGACACCGCAACCUGUGACACCAUCACGGACGAGGGCAGCGAGGGCGUCUGUGACGUCAGAGAGUGACAGUCCAGGUCGGUGUCCCGCAGAGAGUGUGACGUCAGACAACAGUCCCGCCCCGCCGUGGGGUCUCCGACACACACGUGGGAGGUCAGAGUGACCCCAGGGUGACGUCAGCGCAGAGCGACCACCGAGUGACCCCAGAGUGACUUCAGCACAGAGUGAUCCCAGAGUGACGUCAGCACAGAGUGACCCCAGAGUGACGUCAGGGAAGAGCGACCCCAUAGUGACCCCAGAGUGACGUCAGCGAUACCCCGUACCGACCGGGAGCCCAGGACCUGACGUGCAGGUGAGUGACCAGGUGACGCAGGCAGAGUUAUGCAAAUGAGUUUGGGUGACCUCAACGUGACCCCUGACGUCACCCUCGAGGCCACCCGGACCCCUCCCUGGAGGCGACCCCCUGACCUCAGCUCCUACGUCAGCAGCGCGGGCAGCUGGUUCCUGCGGAGCCAUCAUAAUUCAUGCAAAUUCAUGCAAAUUUAUGCAGAUUUAUGAAAAUUAACGCUGACGAGGGUGAUCUGAGCUGCGGAGAGGAUGAACGCAAAUCUGCGCGGCUCCCGCUCGCUCCUCACUGAGCGCAGUGACCUCACGUGACCUCAUGUGACCUCACGUGACCCCUCGAAGGGCAGCAGCGUUCUGCUAAUUAAGAACUCAUUAUGCUCAUUCAUGCUGAUUCCCAUUAACUGGAUGACGUCAUUGGGGUGGGAACAGUGCCCAGCGUGACCUUGCGGCGACCCCCGGGUGACAACUGUGACGUCACCAUCCUCCUCCUCCACCCCCGCCAGGUGACAUCAUCGCGACCCUGAGAUGGCAGCGGGAGACCCCGUGUGACCCCCGUGUGACAUCACCGAGACCCCAGCGACGUCAGCACUAAUCCCGGAGCCCAGGGCCGCCAUGCAUCCCCCAGGCCGCCACCGGCCCACCCCCGCCGGGUUCCCGCCCCGACCGACAGGAGCCCCGCCCCUGAUGUUCACGGGCGGCCCCGCCCUCCACGCCGCGAAUCAUCCUGCCAAGCCAUGAGAGGGCGGGGCACCCAGGCCGGACCCGCCGAAGUCACGGGCCACGCCCACCCGCCACGCCCAGCCAUGUCUUCCUCUCUCUGCCCAUCACGUGCCUGGACCCUGUGACGUCACCCGAGACCUCCCGUGACCCCUCGUGACUCAACGUGACCCCAACGUGACCCCGAGCCCUGCGUUUCCACCCUGUGACGUCAUAGUCCGUCCAUCAGUCCCCGAGCUCCAUGUUCUACUCAGUGCAGAGUCAUCAGGCCACGCCCCGUGACGUCACAUCCGCUGUGUCUGGGGGAGGGGGCGGGGACAUCGAUGCCAACAAAGAAAUAAAUAAAUAAAAAUGGUAUUUUUGACGUC
ensembl:lncRNA